rnacentral:rRNA from 1 species
UUGGAGGGCAAGUCUGGUGCCAGCAGCCGCGGUAAUUCCAGCUCCAAUAGCGUAUAUUAAAGUUGUUGCAGUUAAAAAGCUCGUAGUUGAAUUUCGGGAUCAAUUUGUUGGUCGUGCCUCGGUACGUACUGGCAUUAUUGGUUUCUACCUUCUGAAGAACCUUGAUGUCAUUAACUUGGUGUCUUGGGGAAUCAGGACUGUUACUUUGAAAAAAUUAGAGUGUUUAAAGCAGGCAUACGCUUGAAUACAUUAGCAUGGAGUAAUGAAAUAGGACGUUUGAUUCUAUUUUGUUGGUUUCUAGGAUCGACGUAAUGAUUAAUAGGGAUAGUUGGGGGCAUUAGUAUUCAAUUGUCAGAGGUAAAAUUCUUGGAUUUAUUGAAGACUAACUACUGCGAAAGCAUUUGCCAAGGAUGUUUUCAUUAAUCAAGAACGAAAGUUAGGGGAUCGAAGACGAUCAGAUACCGUCGUAGUCUUAACCAUAAACUAUGCCGACUAGGGAUCGGAUGAUGUUAUUUUUAAUGACUCAUUCGGCGCCUUACGGGAAAC